UUUUUAAGGGCACACCAACAAUCCCCUAACCUCGGGACUGGAUUCGUGUGUACCAGUGCAACACGCUUUAUACCAAAUCAACCCUUAUCUCCAUCAUGUUCAUUUUCAUCAACUGUCACAAUAACAAUAACGGUACCAUUUUUUCUGCACCAGAUGCGCAUUUCGACAAUACAUGUCUCUUCAGUGAUGUUCGUAGCCAAAAUAUGUGAAAUCCAAAGCUUAUAUUAAAGAUGAAGAGCUAUAAUCCAAAAGUUCCAAAAAGUAUAGCCAAAUCCGUGAAAUGAAUCAGAGCUUCGCAUGAGGAGAUACAUUCCUUAAUUUAUAAUAAUUUCUAACAUUUUGACAUGUUUUAAUAUUUCUACACAUUUCACUCAUGGCCACAGGUCUGCACAUGAAAGGUUCUGCUCA
rnacentral:lncRNA from 1 species